UGUAACCCAACACAAGCCAAAGUUGAUCACUUUGAGCAACACCGCUCUGUCUGCUGGAUAUCUAAGCAGAGUAGGUUUCUUCACGUAAAUACAGUCUGCACCUGAAGUCUCUCCCCAUCCCCAACUAGCUGUCAGGGGAGAGCUCAUUCAGACCCUGCUUACAAUACCACAACAAUAUUUCAAGGUGCAAUGCCAAGGAAAAGCAUUAGAGGUCAAGUGAUAGACUGGGUAGACAUAGACUGGGUGUCAGUAACACCUGCUGAUGAUGAUACCUGCAGCAGAAUUUGCACAAACACCCAUAGUUAGCCAUCAGCACUAAAACAACCUUCUCAUGUAUACAAGUUCUCCUGACAUACCCAGCUAUAUCCAGUAGUGCCCUUGCUCUGCUUUAUUUCCAAAGAGCUUCCUAUAGUGUUCUCUUCCCUCUGAGCCUGAAGUCUCAACACCACUGAACUACAGAAUCCAUCUCAGGCAAUGCUAGACAGAUACUAAUAAACAGUGAAAUCCCCACAACGCCUCCCAGCCUUGAGAACUCCACAGCUGACUGUAGAUUGUUCAUCUAGCGAUCUCCAAAAAGCAGUUACACAUAGGAUUUGGAUUUUCUCACCUUUGCAGGUAGGGAGGUGAAGGAAGAUAAUUGCUACAGGGAGGGGAUGGGGAAACAGAAGGAAGUGAAAGAUCUAGGCAGGAAGAUCUCAAGAAAAAUAAAGAAAGAUCUCUCAGUGGGAGGGGAGUAUUUGUUCAAAUGUACUCAAAGAGAAGCCUGAGUGACAAUGAAUCAAUAUAUAAAAAACUACUAAUGAAUUUAAAACUAAAUUACUAAAUAACUGGGUGUUACCAUUUGAGUUUUGAUUGAAUUUGUUUUAAAAAUAUCCCUGGAUUUCCAAAAUAUUCCACAGAUUCUGAGGAGAAAAUUGUGGAAAACAAGAAACAUUUCCAUAGCCCUGGUACUGCAACAAUAGAAUUUCAAUACGCUCAGCACAAGGCCGAGUCUUUCAGGAAUGGAAGGAAAGAAUAACUUCUACUACACUCCUGGGGGCAGAAUGCAAUAACAUGAGUUAGAAUUUGCUUGGGAGCCAGGGUUAAUACCUCUGAAUCUCUUCUAUAAAGUGCUGAAGAAAUGUUUGUGACCAUGACUGCUCAGAAGACCAGUUUUGGAUGUCAUCUAGAAGAACAUUAUACACCAUUCCAAUUUCUCCCCUACCCGGUUUUCACAGGGGAAGUCAUAGGAGGGGGAGGGGCUCUGGCCUCCUCAUCACUUCCUGUCACCUUCAUAAAAACCAAGAGGUAAACAAGAGAGAAGAAUAAAAUUCACUGGCAAAAAUGUUGAGAUUGCUGCUGCUUCUGGUGCCUGGCUCUGGACUGGGAGUUCUCAUCUCUCAGUUCCCUAGAACUGCAACCCAGAGACCUGGAGAAACCAUGAAGAUAACGUGUGUCCAGAAUGAAACCAGCUACUCUUACAUGUACUGGUACAAGCAGCUCCAGGGAGAUGGUCCAAGGUUAAUAGCCCAAAGUGUGGAUAUGUCUAGUACCACUCAUGAGAAGGGGUAUAAUGCAUCCAAGUUUCCAAUCACUAGACCCAAUACCAAGAUUUCUUCCAUGAGCAUUGUGGAUCUGAGAACCCAGGAUUCAGCCAACUACUUCUGUGCUGCCAGUGAGCACACAGUGCUGUGAGGAGAUCAGCAACUCAUUCAGAAACUUGCCCCAUAAAUGAGAGAGAGCUGACAACAAUGGGAGAGAGAGAGAAAGAGAGAGAGAUGCUGACAGGCCAAAGCACACCUGACUUCAAAACCACAGAGGCAUUGUUCGUUUCCCAUAAAAACGGAUAUUUUGCAGCUGUCAGUGGCAUGCCAAGUAAAAGGCCUACUGUAGCCCGUAUUGUUCAGACGAACAGCUUUGUUUUGUGUUAUUUUCUGAGUUUUCUGUUUUAAUUAAUAAACUUAAAAAAGACCUGAAAGAUAUUUAGGCGUUAGUCGCUCCUAGACUUUCAGGCCAGCAUUUCUACAAACCAAUAAAAUAUUGUUGAGUACAAUGCUAGGGGCCACCACCCGGGAUUAAUCGUGAAGUAUGAUGGGCUCCGCUCUCUUUCUCUCUUUGUGAAUGUGUCUGUGUUUGUGCAUGCAACUGUUUUUCACUUUUGUAAGGUUCAAGUGACUCUAUGAAUCCUAGUUUAUGUUACCUAUGGAUUGGAGGCCAGUAACAUUUCCUGGUAAAUCUCCCUGUCGCAGAAGCACAAUUGUUCACACUGACAUCCAAGUUUGAUCUUGGCACUAAAAUCAUUUAUUCUUAUUUUUUUAUUACAGAAACACAUAAAGGCCUCAAGAGCAAGGCCCCACUGUGCCAGGCCUUGUACAAACCCAUAGCAAGAGACUGGUCCCUGCUUUACAAGCUCAAAAUCUGAACAGACAAGACAGACAAAGGGUGAGGGGAGAAACAGAAGCCCAGAGAGGGGGACUGGCCUGCAUGGCUUCCUUCUCCUCCCACAGCUGAGAGGGGGCAGGAGUCCUUGACACAACCUCCUCCAUAUCCCUGACUAUCUUGGAGAGCUGGUAGAAAGGAUACAGUGAGAGGGAACAGGAAUAUGGCACUUUCUCUAUCAUGAGAGUAGGAGGCUCUCUACAUGGUACGGUCUCGUGGGUUAUUCUGGGACGGGCAUCCAAUAUCCUCUUUGGCUUGGAGAAUGGGAAUGGGACAGUCGUUCUUGGUUCCCAUCAGCUGGUGAAUAUAAUAAGAUCAGACUUUCUCUCAUGCCAGUUACAGUGCUCCAGCUCCCAGCCAGAAGACACAAGUUCUGAGGCCACCGCAGAAAUAGGAGAAAACUGCUGUAAGAAAAAUAAUUAAUGAAACCUUUUUGAGACCUAAUAGGAAGUUUGGGUUAAUUCUUACAUCUUUGGUCUAGAGCUAACCAUAGUAGUCUAUUGGAGUGUGCAACUGUCUCCCCAAGGGAUGUGGUGGGGGCCCCAUUACUUGAGACAUCAAACACUGGGCCGGACAAAGCGUUACUCAAUAGUCUGUAAGGGCUUUUCCCGGCUCUGUCUUCUCUGAUUCAUUUACUUCUUUUCUGCAGUCUAGAAAGUUUGUGAUUUCACCAGGCAAUAAUUUGCAGUAACUAAAUCAUGGGUUCAGCACUAGGCAGCUGCUAGAAGAAACUAGGACUGAUGGAGGAAGGUGAAUUUAGGUUUCAACAGGUGAUGUCACUAACAAGGGCCAGGUGAGUGGCUGCUUGUGGGGCUGUGCAAGAUGCAUCCCUGAGCAGAAAAUCUGACGUGUUCUCUAACUGCCCGUUUCAUUUUGUCUUAGGUGACUCAAAUGUUCAAAAGUUUAGGAUCUCAAGGGUGAAUAUGAAAACCAGCUACAGGCAUCUGAAGGAUCUGAACACCUAGGACUAUAAGUGGCUCAUGUUACAGCCAUCGGGGUGUUUUCUCCAUUGUAAAGUUCUGGAAAUAACAAUGCUCCAUUAUUUUUCAUCGUCAGUUGUCAUGGUAAAUACACAAUAACAAAAAGCUUUUCUUUUACUGGUGAAUCUUAGUGCCAGGGAAAGGUGCUAGACAUGACAGCUCCCAGAAACUGAACCAUAAUCUUUAACCAGAGCAUACAUACAUCCCUUUGCUUCCAUUGACAUUUGAUGAGACCUCAACACAGUUCUCCUUCACCUCUCUGGAAAUGGCUCUCUCUCCUACAACAUGCAAACAGUAUGUCAGACACGUGUAUAAUUAAAUAAACAUAUUAGUGAACUGU